AGUGAUACCAAACAGACCUUU
rnacentral:miRNA from 1 species